rnacentral:lncRNA from 1 species
CGAGGUCUUUAAAAGCAGAGCGUUUACUCUAGUUGGUUGCAGUCAGAGAGACACGCUUAGGUGGCUCAGAGGAAAGCCGGUAUCCAUGUUCUCGAUGGUGCAUGUAGGCCACAUGGAAAGAAACUGAAGGAGACGUCUAGAAGAAUAGAGUGGUCCCUGGCCAACAGCUAAAAAAAAAAAAAAAAACAAAACACUAAAACGGCAAAUAAGUUGGGACCUCAGCCCUACAACCACAAAGAAAGAAAUUCUGCCAAAACACACAGAGGACCUCCAGCCUUCGAUGAGAACCAUAACCCUAUCAAAAACCUUGAUUUCAGCUAGUGAGACCCUGAGUAGGAACUCCGGCCAAGCUGCACCCUGGAUUCUAACCUACAGAAAGUUUAAGGAAGGAUAGAGAAAAUAGAAGAUAUCGAGAGGAAAGAGCAAAAAGUUUUGCUUUUUUAUUCUGAGAAAGUAAUGCAUAUUUCUGCUCAUGAAUCAGAAUUUCCAAGUAAUCCAGACAGUGAGCCUCCACUGAGAACAAAGAAGAUCUUCAAAGCCACCAGUCAGCCAAAGAGGUCAUAAGUGAGAACCUCUCAGUGAGAUGCCAGGACUUCUGGAGAGAACUCCUACUAGAAUUCCUCAGAAUCAGCACAGCAAUGUUUUGCCCAGGCCCCCUUCCCUGCCCUGGUAAGACUGGAGUUGCUUCACCCUGGCCAUUAAAUUGGAAAUAAAAUGUCUUUGCGUAGAUGAUACCUGUUAGCCUGAUGGAAGAACUUCUUGUAUUAUGUUUUUUUUUUCUAAUUUAGUUAGAAAAGUACCUUAAUCAGAAUUCAAAGAUGCAUAAGCGUACUGUCUUUAAAAUUGUCACAUUGGUAAGUUAUGUAGAUUUUUAAAAACAUUACUGCCAUUUAUCAAGGCACUUGGAGAGUAUGUCCUUUAGAAUUAUAUUCCAAGUCCUUUCAAAGCUACAUUCAUUCCUUAGCCUAUUCUCAAAACAAAUUGGAGAGGAUAGGCUUACAGCAUAACCUCCUAGAAUAGGCAAAGACACCUACAAAUACUUAUUAAGCUACCUCUUGUCUUUCCAAACUUGCUUACAGUCAGAAAGUCUAACCUAUUUAGAAAGUAAGUCCAUUCAGUUUUAUGUGUGAGAAUGGUAACAGUCUAAUCACUUCCAUUCUUUGGAUACUAAUGACUUUGGGAUAUUUCCAAAACCAGAUGUACUUUCAAAAAAUGGCUAUUUGAAAUUACUUAGUAAUGCCUAGUGAAUUAGCUUUUUCUACUUAAAGGUAGACUUCAGCUCUUCAACAAUACCUACAAAAUCACAUAGGUCUUCUUGGUAUAUGCAAAUUUUUUUGUUCCUUCUUUGUAACUGUACGUAAAGAUGGAUUCUCAAUAUUAAUGGGGAUAUUCACAUCUCUGAAUUACUGGAACCAAUAUUUUUCUAAUUGAUAUAAAGCUAGAUAUUUUCAAAUUUUAUUAGAUGUUAUUGUCAGGUGCUAAGUCAAUUGUGUAAUAUAUUAUUAAACAAUGUAAAGAAGUUUCUCAACAUGUUACCUAUUUCAAUAAAAAUAAUUUUUGCAACAGCAUAUGGUUUUGAAUUAAAAAUAGAAAAUAA